rnacentral:rRNA from 1 species
ACUCCUACGGGAGGCAGCAGUGGGGAAUAUUGCACAAUGGGCGCAAGCCUGAUGCAGCCAUGCCGCGUGUAUGAAGAAGGCCUUCGGGUUGUAAAGUACUUUCAGCGGGGAGGAAGGGAGUAAAGUUAAUACCUUUGCUCAUUGACGUUACCCGCAGAAGAAGCACCGGCUAACUCCGUGCCAGCAGCCGCGGUAAUACGGA